GGAGAUGUGGCUCAGUGGUAGAGUGCUUGUCUAGCAUGCAUGAAGCCCUGGGUUCGAUUCCUCAGUACCA
rnacentral:tRNA from 1 species